ACCAGACUCCUACGGGAGGCAGCAGUGGGGAAUAUUGCACAAUGGGGGGAACCUUGAUGCAGCAACGCCGCGUGGGUGAAGAAGUACUUCGGUAUGUAAAGCCCUGUCAGCAGGGAAGAAAAUGACGGUACCUGACCAAGAAGCCCCGGCUAACUACGUGCCAGCAGCCGCGGUAAUACGUAGGGGGCAAGCGUUAUCCGGAUUUACUGGGUGUAAAGGGAGCGUAGACGGCAAGGCAAGUCUGGAGUGAAAGCCCGCGGCUCAACCACGGGACUGCUUUGGAAACUGUGUUGCUGGAGUGCAGGAGGGGUAAGCGGAAUUCCUAGUGUAGCGGUGAAAUGCGUAGAUAUUAGGAGGAACACCGGUGGCGAAGGCGGCUUACUGGACUGUAACUGACGUUGAGGCUCGAAGGCGUGGGGAGCAAACAGGAUUAGAUACCCGAGUAC
rnacentral:rRNA from 1 species